rnacentral:rRNA from 1 species
CGGUGAAUACGUUCCCGGACCUUGCACACACCGCCCGUCAAGCCAUGGAAGCCGGGUGUACCUAAAGUCGGUAACCAUAAGGAGCCGCCUAGGGUAAAACUGGUGACUGGGGCU